AUUGAACGCUGGCGGAAUGCUUUACACAUGCAAGUCGAACGGCAGCACGGACUUCGGUCUGGUGGCGAGUGGCGAACGGGUGAGUAAUGUAUCGGAACGUGCCCAGUCGUGGGGGAUAACGUAGUGAAAAUUACGCUAAUACCGCAUACGAUCUAUGGAUGAAAGCGGGGGAUGGCAAGACCUCGCGCGAUUGGAGCGGCCGAUAUCAGGUUAGGGAGUUGGUGGGGUAAAGGCCAACCAAGCAAACGAUCUGUAGCUGGUCUGAGAGGACGCCCAGCCACACUGGAUGUGAGACACGGUCCAGACUCCUGCGGGAGGCAGCAGUGGGGAAUUUUGGACAAUGGGCGAAAGCCUGAUUCAGCCAUUCCGCGUGCAGGAUGAAGGCCCUCGGGUUGUAAACUGCUUUUGUACAGAACGAAAAGGUUUCUACUAAUACUAGGAGCUCAUGACGGUACUGUAAGAAUAAGCACCGGCUAACUACGUGCCAGCCGCCGCCGUAA
rnacentral:rRNA from 1 species